UAGCGAAGGGAGCUAGCGUUGUUCGGAAUCAGCUAGGGCGUAAAGCGCACGUAGGCGGUAUUGUUUGAGUCAGGGGUGAAAUCCUGGAGCUCAACUCCAGAACUGCCUUUGAUACUGGCGAUCUUGAGUCCGGGAGAGGUGAGUGGAACUGCGAGUGUAGAGGUGAAAUUCGUAGAUAUUCGCAAGAACACCAGUGGCGAAGGCGGCUCACUGGCCCGGUACUGACGCUGAGGUGCGAAAGCGUGGGGAGCAAACAGG
rnacentral:rRNA from 1 species